GCCAUCCCGCGUGAAGGAUGAAGGCCCUAUGGGUCGUAAACUUCUUUUAUAUGCCAAGAAAACGACCUACGAGUAGGUUUUUGACGGUAGUAUAUGAAUAAGCAUCGGCUAACUCCGUGCCAGCAGCCGCGGUAAUACGGAGGAUGCGAGCGUUAUCCGGAUUCAUUGGGUUUAAAGGGUGCGUAGGCGGUUUUUUAAGUCAGUGGUGAAAUCCUGCGGCUCAACCGUAGAACUGCCAUUGAAACUGAAAAACUUGAAUAUAAUUGAGGUAGGCGGAAUGAGUAGUGUAGCGGUGAAAUGCUUAGAUAUUACUCAGAACACCAAUUGCGAAGGCAGCUUACCAAGCUAUAAUUGACGCUGAGGCACGAAAGCGUGGGGAUCGAACAGGAUUAGAUACCCUGGUAGUCCGCGCCGUAAACGAUGUUCACUCGCUGUUUGCGAUAUACAGUAAGCGGCCAAGCGAAAGCAUUAAGUGAACCACCUGUGGAGUACGUCGGCUUCGGUGAAACUCAAAGGUAUUUGACGGGGGCCCGCACAAGC
rnacentral:rRNA from 1 species